CAAGGAGUAGAAUUCUUGGAUCUUUUAGAAUUGCCCGUGCUAUGGCAAUUCUUUGCUUUUGACCCCCAGAGAGCUGUGUACCAUGCUCACCGACAAUCAUAUCAUGUCCCUAAAAUCACAAUUUUACACAACCAAUGAGGUUUUGGCAACUUAUUGGGAUGCCUUGUAGACAUGCAACAUGCAAUUUGUGCAGUUGCUGCCUCAGAAUAAGCUGCUUGUCCUCGAGAUGCCAUCUUUGCAAAAGCUAAGCUCAUCAUGGAACCGGAGAGGACAAGAAGAGGAACAGAAGAUAGAAGGACAAGGCUCAGAAGCCAACCCUUGGUGAAGGCUAAGGUUAUGGCUCCUAGAAAACUUGACACACUCUGUAUGAACUUUCCUACCUGAGAUAUCACCCAAAAAGAGAACGAAAAAGUUAACUCCAAUAAUAGUUUGAUGAGAUUGUGAUGAUUUUGGAUUUGAAGAGUGGUCCAUUAAUACCUUCUCUCCCAUGGCUUCUUGAAUAAGAAAUGUGUCCCCUGACAUCCUUCCAACAACCUCGCCACUGUUGGUUUCCUUGUCAAAGAAGCUGAUAUCUUGCCUCAAAAUUGCUUUGAGGUAUAAGCCUCUUAGUCUUGCAGCUUGUCUCUCCCCAGUGAUCACCCAGCAAGACACCUCUGCAAAAUUGAAGAAUGUGUCACUGAGUAACUCUUGCUAUAUUUUUAUUAAAUUUUUUUCUAUCUUUACAGUAAGAACAAUCAGCUGAGAAUUUGGCAUGCUUACGCAAGAAUGCUGCUAAAAAGGCACCUGCGCCUAUGGAUGCAAUCUUCAGAGACACCUGAGGAUGAAACGAAACUCGAAAGGAUCUACGGAUUACCUUAGAAACUUCAUGAAGUACUUGUUUAUUAUCAACAUGUCCUCCCAAGGCAUCAAUCGCAUCUCCAACAAAUAUAGCCAGUGAAGGAGUACAGAUUCCAUUAGCAACAGCACUUAUUGCCCCAACAAGCAUCAGAAGACAAUCCAGAGAGUCUGCAAAUGAGAAAAGUUUGUAAAAGGUUGAAGUCAUAUCUGCAUCCAAGGAAAACUCCUCUUGGUUUUCAACUUGCAAAAACCACUGAAAAACCUCUGCACAAGACUGUUGUGCACUUCAGUGGUAACGCAGUAAGAACUUUCAUUUGUAACUCAAUGCC